rnacentral:misc_RNA from 1 species
GAUGAAGAACGCAGCGAAAUGCGAUAAGUAAUGUGAAUUGCAGAAUUCAGUGAAUCAUCGAAUCUUUGAACGCACCUUGCGCCCUUUGUCCAUUCCGAAGGGCAUGCCUGUUUGAGUAUCAUGAACACCUCAACUCUUCAUGGUUUUCCAUGAUGAGCUUGGACUUUGGGGGUCUUGCUGGCCUGUGGGUCGGCUCCUCUCAAAUGAAUCAGCUUGCCGGUUUUUGGUGGGCAUCACAGGUGUGAUAACUAUCUACGCUUGUGGUUUUCCACCAGGGUAACCUUCAGCAGUGGAGGUUCACUGGAGCUUACAAAUGUCUCUCCUCUGUGAGGACAGCCCUUUGAAUGUUUGAUCUCAAAUCAGGUAGGACUACCCGCUGAACUUAAGCAUAUCAAUAAGCGGAGGA